rnacentral:lncRNA from 1 species
CUGCAGUCCCAGGUGUGAGUGGACAGCUACUCCGCAUUUGAGAGAGAGAGACAUCAAACCAUCAUGAGAGACUUCUAAGGAGGUGUUCAAAGUCCAGUCCAGCAACUGUUAGCUCCUCUUCCUCAUCAAGGGUAUGGAAGGGUUGGAGUCUUAAAGAUCUUUUUUUGGAGAGGGCUCUUAGUGUGUUUUGAGUCUCCCCUCCCCUAGUGACAUGGGACAGGCAUAAAGAGGGAGCUUUUCUCCCUUCUCAAGUUCAGGGAGAGGAGCUUCGGUGGACCCCCAUGGAGAGCAAGAUAUGCUUCCCUUGUGGAUGAAGUCUGCUUAUUCCUGAAAACUAUCUACUUGGCUGAAGACUAGGGCCACUGGCUGUGACUGUGGGGAGAAGAGAGGUAGUUACUGUGGCAGUAACCUCCUCAGAAAUUGGAAUUUUAAUGCUAUUUGACCAGACCAUUGCACUUGCUCAUCCAGAGUUUAUCUAGUUACGGAUGCAGGCGUACUUCCUCUAGCCUGGACGACGUCAGACAAGGAGGAGUCAGAAGAGGGCUGCCUUGAAUUUUGCCCAGGAGAGUCACAAGAGAAGGAUGCCCAGGUGUUACUUCAAUUGCAUAGAGGCUGCGGGGACAGCAGAAAGUGGUCAGCUGUUACCACGUCAAGGGAACUACAAGCAAGAGAUCCAGUGAUGGUGGGAUGCAAAGGGGCUUCAAAGAAUUGACAAAAUUAUAUGACCAUGACCUGGAGGAGCAGAGGUAGCCUAGUGAGUGGCUGGGAGGAGGAGAAGUGCCAGGUGGGGAAAGAGAGAAGAUGGUGACCACAACAUCUCCCCUUUCCCACGGGAGGCCACCAGCCCAAAAUAGGACCAACUGCCAGCAAAGAUCAGCAGUUGAGGAGGAGAGAUCUUUAACUGCAAAUAAAGUAAAGAUUUCUCAGUGUGGCCAGAUGGUAUUUAAAGAGCCUAAUGAGAAAGAUGCCUUGGCUCCAAGUGGCAAUGUCAAAAGACACAUCGCAGCUGCCCAGUCUCAGAGGUCUGGAAUGAGACCGACACUCCCAAUUACUGCCCAGUGUCGCGUUGUCACUACUGCCUUCUCAGCAUCCUGCCUCCUCAAGCAGUAUUCACGCCUCUCUUCAUCUGUUCAAACGCAUUCAUCCUGUCUGACAUUCGCCCGGUUCCUGCAGUGUCUCCAGGCUCAGGGUACAGCAUGUGCACACUUCAACCUUGGAUGCAAGAGCACAGAUUCUAUCAGUCUUGAUGUAAUGUGCCACAAAUUGAAAAAUUAAACCUCUUCAUGGAGAGAAAAAAGGAGCAGCCUAAGAAUAACAUGCAAGGCCAAAGGAGAUCUCAAAGGCAUUGUCUGGGGUGAGCAGUUUUUGCUUACUUUUCUAUGAUAUGGAAUAUAGAGUGCAGAAUCCCUGAAAUUUCCUCGUUUUUUGUUUUUUUCUCCCCCAACCCAAAGAAGAAUUCAUAGACACCAUAGUGUGCUUCAGCCCCGCAAAGUCAGUGGAGGAUAAAAGUGCUAGUGGUCAAAUGUAUUUUGAUUUUUUAGGUGUUGGUGCUUAACUUCAGUGCAAUAGUAGCCUUCCUUUUUCCUCUUCUUGACAUGACCACAUAGGUAAUUUUCAACCAGCUUCUUUUUCACACCUUCUUUCCACUAUUUAACAUUGUUAUAUAUAUAAACUUUAUAUAUAUGAGUUUAUUAUAUAUAUAGUCCAAUGAAAUGUAUAUGAUAUAUAUAAGUAUAUACUAUAUCUAUAAUGUGUAUAUUCCUUUUGGAAUUUUAACUUCCACGUUUUUCUCUUAUUUACCCUUACACAUUCAUAAAUCAAGAUCCCCAGUCUUGCAGUCUUACACUUACUACACUCAAUAUAUCUCCCUUCCACUGUACAUCUCAAAUCACGUUUUUAAUUUUUUUAGGAAGACACUAUAUUACACAAAAUAAAUACUAUUUUUUCUUCA